CACUUCAGCCAGAACAUAUUUUUAUGCAGGUUUCAAAGGGGAGUAUCACAAGCUCUCCCGACUUUUCUGUCGCUCCGGCCGGAAAUUGUCAAACCUCAGGGGAGAGUAUCACAAGCUCUCCCGACACUUCUGUCGCUCUGGCCAGAAGUCGUCAAACAUGAGCACGGUGAGUCUGUCGCUUCGCCCAGAUUCACCGAGGAUUGGCUAAAGUAAGGAGAAGAAUAUCGCAAGAGGUAUUUUCGGUCAAU
rnacentral:lncRNA from 1 species